rnacentral:rRNA from 1 species
CCAGCAGCUGCGGUAAUUCCAGCUCCAAUAGCGUAUAUUUAAGUUGCUGCAGUUAAAAAGCUCGUAGUCGGUUUUCGGGCGGGUUGCGCCGGUCUGCCUUUGGUAUGCACUGGCGUGUCCCGCUUUACUGUCGGGGACGGGCUCCUGGGCUUUACUGUCCGGGACCCGGAGUCGACGCUGUUACCUUGAGUAAAUUGGAGUGUUCAAAGCAGGCAUACGCUCUGAACAUAUUAGCAUGGAAUAACGUUAUAGGACUCUGGCCUAUUUCGUUGGUCUGUGGGACCGGAGUAACGACCAAUGGGGGCAGUCGGGGGCAUUCGUAUUUCGUUGUCAGAGGUGAAAUUCUUGGAUUUACGAAAGACGAACUGCUGCGAAAGCGUUUGCCAAGGAUGCUUUCGUCGAUCAAGAACGAAAGU